UACGGAGGGGGCUAGCGUUGUUCGGAAUUACUGGGCGUAAAGCGCACGUAGGCGGCUUUGUAAGUUAGAGGUGAAAGCCCAGGGCUCAACCCUGGAAUUGCCUUUAAGACUGCAUCGCUAGAAUUGUGGAGAGGUAAGUGGAAUUCCGAGUGUAGAGGUGAAAUUCGUAGAUAUUCGGAAGAACACCAACGGCGAAGGCAGCUCGCUGGGACGGUACUGACGCUGAGACGCGAAAGCGUGGGGAGCGAACAGG
rnacentral:rRNA from 1 species